UGUAUGUAUUUAUUUUGUGUAGUAUGCCUUUAAUCAUAUAACAGUAAAAACUGAAACAUUUUACAUUUACAGAGAUGUCUACAAUUAAAAGGUGCCUGUGCAGCAAAUGCAGAGGUGACAAGUACCUCAGCACACGACAAAGAUACAGGCACAGAGUCCACAACGGGGCAUUCACCCCACAAUUUUUUGAAGAGGAUGCAGCAAUAGGAGGUGGUGGCGACGAUGACAGACUUGACGACGGCAACAUUGGCGAUGACAGACUUGACGACGUCAACUUUGGAGAUGACGCAAACGAUGACGGAGACGAUGACGGAGACGGAGUCGAUGACGGAGACGAUGACUACGAUGGAAAUUACAACAGACCCUUAUACCCUGCAGCUGUAGUAACUGUUCUUCAAACAAUUGCUCUGCUUGCAGUGUUUUAUAUAACAUCCGGAAAAAUCGCGAAAAAGUCAAUGGAACAACUUCUCCGCAUCAUAAAAGCCAUUCUGCCCCAACCAAAUUUACUACCACACACAUUCAAACAACUGAAACACAUGAUAAACAACAUUGCUGGAAACAUGACAGACAUACAUGCAUGCAUCAACGACUGUAUACUAUUCACGCAUCAAUAUGAACAUCUUGACACUUGCCCACAAUGCACUGCUGCACGAUACACACACAAUGGACAGCCACGAAAAAUAUUUACACAUUCACAUCUGACAAAAUUUAUAAAAUCACAAUUCAAAUACUUCAACUUUGACUCACUUAUGACUUACAGACACACACACUACAUUCCAGUUACAAGAAUAUAUGACAUUCAUCAAACACACAUGGCAAAAUUUAUUUAAUGACCCAUACAACAUUAUAAUUAGUAUUGAAUUUGAUGGCUUCUCCCCUUUUGAAAGAACAAAAAAUUACUCUAUCUGGCCAAUCACUAUUAAAUUCUUAAACCUUCCAGCCCCAAUUAGAAACAAAUUUGAAAACAAGUUCCUUUACGGCAUAAUUCCCGGCCCAAAAAGACAACAAAACCUUUCAACGUAUCUUCAACCGUUAAUAGACGAGCUUGUACACGACAUAGACAUUACGGACGCAAAUGGACACCACCACCUCGUUAACGUCAAGCUGCUCUUCACUGGAGCCGACUAUGAAGGCCAUUCUCUAGCGAUGCAGCUGACAGGAGCAGCCAGCUACAGCAGCUGCAUGAAAUGCAACAUUGAUGGAAAUUACUUUCCUGGUCUCAGGAAAGUAAUUCAUGCCGAUAAUAGGAGGUUCCUACCAGCUGAGAGUACCCUCAGACGUGCCAACAGAGGCCUUUUUCUGGCUGGCAAUAUUUUGACAGCCAACGCCGAACUACUGCCACCACCAGAAAACAAAACAGAUGCUGGCCAAAGAAUUGCAGCUGCAGAAUACAUGGCAGCACAACACAUUGGUAUUAGCCCUUUACAUACUAUACUCAAGCAUUCAUAUUUUGAAAGUAUUUCAAUUAUGAAAUGUAACCACAUAUAUCUGAAACGCAUUUUUUUAAUUGUGCGUUUUUGAGUAAAAAUCGUGUUUAUUUACCAUUAAUUUUAUUAUUGAAGUGUUCCAAGUGCCUACAGGUGGCUCAGGGCAUAGAAAACAUUACACAGUUUACAGAAUUGAAAAAUUCCACCCUAUCAAAAGUUACAGGCAUUUUGACUGAUUUUGGGAGGGAUGCUAUCAUUGGGGGGGGGUCCAAGCUCCAUUUAGAGAUGCCACUUUGAUUUUAAAUGCCGAGUCUUAUGGUUUUGUAAGAACCUUAUUAGUCCCUGAGAUUGUGAUGCAAGUGUGUACGUGCGUGUACCCGCGUUUACGUGCGUGUAUCUGCGUGU